rnacentral:rRNA from 1 species
AACGCUAGCUACAGGCUUAACACAUGCAAGUCGAGGGGCAGCGGGAAUGUUAGCAAUAACAUUUGCCGGCGACCGGCGCACGGGUGAGUAACACGUAUGCAACCUGCCCGUAGCAGGGGGAUAAGCGGAAGAAAUUCCGUCUAAUACCGCGUAAUAUCCUUUAGGGGCAUCCCUUUAGGAUUAAAGAAAUUCGGCUACGGAUGGGCAUGCGGCGCAUUAGCUAGUUGGCGGGGUAACGGACCACCAAGCCGACGAUGUCUAGGGGUUCUGAGAGGAAGGUCCCCCACACUGGUACUGAGACACGGACCAGACUCCUACGGGAGGCAGCAGUGAGGAAUAUUGGUCAAUGGGCGAGAGCCUGAACCAGCCAAGUCGCGUGAGGGACGACGGUACUAAGUAUUGUAAACCUCUUUUGUCAGGGAACAAAGAGACCACGAGUGGUAAGAUGAGUGUACCUAAAGAAAAAGCAUCGGCUAACUCCGUGCCAGCAGCCGCGGUAAUACGGAGGAUGCGAGCGUUAUCCGGAUUUAUUGGGUUUAAAGGGUGCGUAGGCGGUAUAGCAAGUCAGCGGUUAAAUGUCGGGGCUCAACCUCGGCCUGCCGUUGAAACUGUUGUACUAGAGAGAAUGAGAAGUAUGCGGAAUGCGUGGUGUAGCGGUGAAAUGCUUAGAUAUCACGCAGAACUCCGAUUGCGAAGGCAGCAUGCCGGCAUUUAUCUGACGCUGAGGCACGAAAGCGUGGGGAUCGAACAGGAUUAGAUACCCUGGUAGUCCACGCAGUAAACGAUGAAUGCUAGAUGUUCGAUGGGAUUAACUAUUGAGUGUCACAGCGAAAGCGUUAAGCAUUCCACCUGGGGAGUACGCCGGCAACGGUGAAACUCAAAGGAAUUGACGGGGGCCCGCACAAGCGGAGGAACAUGUGGUUUAAUUCGAUGAUACGCGAGGAACCUUACCCGGGCUCAAACGACAGGGGAAUAUAUGUGAAAGCAUAUAGCUAGCAAUAGUCGCUGUCGAGGUGCUGCAUGGUUGUCGUCAGCUCGUGCCGUGAGGUGUCGGCUUAAGUGC